rnacentral:rRNA from 1 species
UGGUUUGGCAGUGAGCGAUUCUUAUUAGGGGAAUAUGCAUAGUGAAGGAUGGUCCACCUAUUAGUUUACUCUUUUUAUGUUGGUGUAUGUCUGGUUUGAUAUUAUUGUUGAAUAAUUUAAGUUUGUGUAGUUUUAGUUAAGCUAAGUCUAUGUGCUGCUUAUGGGAGUUUUUGUGUGUUACAUUAAUAAGGGUGUUAUUGUGAGAUGAUGUGAUUUAGGACUUAAUAGUAAUGUUAAAUGAGUUUGUUGAUGUGAAGAGAGUUUAGCUCAGGUACACACCGC